UACGGGGGGGGGCAAGCGUUGUUCGGAAUUACUGGGCGUAAAGGGUCUGUAGGUGGCCAACUAAGUCAGACGUGAAAUCCCUCAGCUUAACUGGGGAACUGCGUCUGAUACUGGAUGGCUUGAGUGUGGGAGAGGAAUGCGGAAUUCCAGGUGUAGCGGUGAAAUUCGUAGAUAUUAGGAAGAACACCAGUGGCGAAGGCGGCUCACUGGCUCGGUACUGACGCUGAGGCGCGAAAGCGUGGGGAGCAAACAGG
rnacentral:rRNA from 1 species